GCAAUAUUUACUACAAAUUUCCCAUUCCUGCUCUUGGGAUUUUUUCAAUCAAUUAAUACUCCAUCUCUUCUUCCACCUUUCCCCUUGCAAUUCAACUCAACCACACCCUUUCUCAUCUUUCUAUCUCUCUUCAUCCACCUCUCACCUUAAUUUAUUGAGCAUUAAAGCAAUCCCUCUCUCUCUCUCUCUCUCUAUAUAUAUAUAUAUAUAUAUAUAUAUAUAUAUAUGAUGCUGCUGAUUCUACUCCUAAGACAACUCUUUAAGGCUUAAGGUAGCUAAGCUAGCAGUUGAAAGGGAGUAGUAAAAAGGAUGAAUGUGAAUGGAGCAAAGCUGGAGCUGAAGCUGAACUUGUCUCCACCGAGGAGUUCGCAGAUGACGAGCUCAUGCGCCUCGGUGAACCAGCAGGAUGAGCAGCUCUGCUACUCAACUAGCCCGACAGCGAAGAUGAUGAUGCUGGUGGGAUGCCCUCGGUGUCUAAUGUAUGUGAUGCUGUCGGAGGAGGAUCCCAGGUGCCUCAAAUGCAAGAGCUCUGUUUUGCUCGACAUCAUGCACAGCUCUGCCCCAAAAACCAACAGGAGUUGAUAACUAGUGACCUUAGCACUAGUGGAGGCUUAAUAGUGCUGCUUUUUUUUUUGUUUUGUUUAGUUUUCAUCCAUUUCCAGUAAGUCAUGGCUAUGCAUUAAAAGAAUGAGUCUAGAGCUCUCUUGUAACAAAUUUAAGUAAUUUCUUGCCUGCAUCUUCACUCAUCUUUAUGUGUGUGUGUGUGUGUGUCAAUUCAUCUUGUAAGAAGCUGCUCUGUGUUGAUGAAUGGAACAGUGAGAUAGUCUGGGAGGUUUUGCAGUUUA